rnacentral:lncRNA from 1 species
AUGGGAAUAAUAGCACUUUUCCUCCCUACCUUCAGAGAGAUGAGAAUCUCUCUGAGAAUCAGAGAGAUGCUAUUUAUGGAAAGACAAUAUAACCACAAAUCCCUGCCUGUAUACUAUAUGGUGAAUAGUCUGUCAUUACAGGAGGUGGCAUGCUGCUAUGGACAAAGUACUGGGAAAAAAAAUCAGGAGACCUGGGAUCCACUCCUGGCUGAGCUGAAAAAUCUCUUCAUGUUGGGACAUCCAAGAUGCUCUAGACUCAUACAACCUGUGAGUCAGAAAGAUAGAUUUCCAAGAAACCAGAACAGGCAUAGACACUCCCUCCCUCAUUCUCAGAUACAUGGGAAAUAUGUUCGCUUUCCUGACCUCAGAGGACUUCACAGCAAAGAAGUGGUCAGAGAAAACCCUGAAGAGCUUAAGGAGCAGCAAUGCAGGAUUGGCAUGUGCUGGAAGCAUGGGCCAGUUGGCCUAUCUUAAAAGUUUCUUUCUGUGUGGAGUGGACAUAAGAGCCGAAGAGGCCUCUGGUGGGGAACUGAUGAACAACCCAAGAAUUCAAGUUAAGAAGAAAGAAACUACCUAAUCCAUACCAGCAAAUAGCUUAAAAGAGUGGUAGAAAGAAGCAAAAAAUGUAGAAUCUGACAGAUUCAAGACAAAAUCUCAUAUAGAUCAUUUAUCUGACUUUGGGCAAAUUAUUUACAAUUUCUGAGCCUAAGUAUUCUUAUCCAUAAAACUGGGAUACUAAUGUUCUUCCACUGGAUUGUUAAAAAUAUUAAAUGAGAUGCAAACGUACGAGCCUGGCCAUUUAGUCCAAUAACUAAGAACAAGGAUGGAAUGACCCUGACCUGAGUGAGGGGACAUGGAAGCCCAUUGGUCAUCUCUGGAGGACCUGAUCUAGACCUAGAAAGAUCUUGGGAGCAGGCCCUCAUCAGGUGGAGAGGAGAGGGAGGAGACAGUGGAGCUCACUUGGUUCUUCCUGCCUCCAUGGGGAUUGAUGAGGACAGAGCCCAAAUGAAGAGCUAAAGAAGGUAGAGGCUGAAGGCCUCAAAGACCAGAACAUGCUAGCAACAAACACAGGCAAGUCCAAGGAGGACCCCUGUGUCCCAGUGAUCACUCUUCUGUGAAUUCCUCCCCGUGUAGAUUUUUACAAACAGACAUACCCAACUUACCCUCCACCCAAAGUCUGCAGAGAAGGAGUAAUUGCAGCACCCAUGCCAGACUCUUCAGCAGAGCAGGCAGAAAGGGACCACAUGAGGGCAAUGCUGCUUGGUGUCAACCCUAGCCCUAUGCUCUGAACUCAUGCACCAUGAGGUCACCACUUCAUCAGUGGAAGUUCUGGGUACCUCUCCCUGUUCAAAAUCAAGGUUCUAUGUUCUCCUCUCUUUUCCCAAAUUAAAAUAGCUGCUUGCCCCCAUUCACACAUAGGCUUCCUAGAGUAAUUCCUUCCCAUAUUCAAUCCCUUUGGAAUCUCUUAUUUAAA